AGUGAACGCUGGCGGUAGGCCUAACACAUGCAAGUCGACCGGCAGCACAGUAAGAGCUUGCUCUUACGGGUGGCGAGUGGCGGACGGGUGAGGAAUACAUCGGAAUCUACUUUUUCGUGGGGGAUAACGUAGGGAAACUUACGCUAAUACCGCAUACGACCUACGGGUGAAAGCAGGGGAUCUUCGGACCUUGCGCGAUUGAAUGAGCCGAUGUCGGAUUAGCUAGUUGGCGGGGUAAAGGCCCACCAAGGCGACGAUCCGUAGCUGGUCUGAGAGGAUGAUCUGCCACACUGGAACUGAGACACGGUCCAGACUCCUACGGGAGGCAGCAGUGGGGAAUAUUGGACAAUGGGCGCAAGCCUGAUCCAGCCAUACCGCGUGGGUGAAGAAGGCCUUCGGGUUGUAAAGCCCUUUUGUUGGGAAAGAAAAGCAGCAGGUUAAUACCCCGCUGUUCUGACGGUACCCAAAGAAUAAGCACCGGCUAACUUCGUG
rnacentral:rRNA from 1 species